CGUUCGAUAGCUCAGUUGGUAGAGCGGAGGACUGUAGAUCCUUAGGUCGCUGGUUCGAAUCCGGCUCGAAGAA
rnacentral:tRNA from 1 species